GAUGAACGCUGGCGGCGUGCCUAAUACAUGCAAGUCGAGCGAACAGACGAGGCGCUUGCUCCUCUGACGUUAGCGGCGGACGGGUGAUUCACACGUGUCUAACCUACCUAUAAGACUGGGAUAACUUCGGGAACCCUAAUCUAAUACCGGAUAAUAUAUUGAACCGCAUGGUUCAUUAGUGCACGCCGUUUUUGCUGUCCCUUAUAGAUGGAUCCGCGCCGCAUUAGCUAGUUGGUAAGGUAACGGCUUACCAAGGCAACGAUGCGUAGCCGACCUGAGAGGGUGAUCGGCCACACUGGAACUGAGACACGGUCCAGACUCCUACGGGAGGCAGCAGUAGGGAAUCUUCCGCAAUGGGCGAAAGCCUGACGGAGCAACGCCGCGUGAGUGAUGAAGGUCUUCGGAUCGUAAAACUCUGUUAGUAGGGAAGAACAAAUGUGAAAGUAACUAUGCACGUCUUGACGGUACCUAAUCAGAAAGCCACGGCUAACUACGUG
rnacentral:rRNA from 1 species